AGAUUUUAGGUGAUUCACCUACCUGCUUAUCUUUCUCCUUUCAUCUGCCCGCCACGUUGUAAAAAGGUUUAACACCUGUUUUGUGGAUUAAGCUUAUUAUAAGGCAAUGAGAGAGAGAGGUAUGGAUUGAUAUGGAGCGGUUAACUGUGAAGACGGAGGAGCACCACCGCUGUUGAAGACCAUCUCAUCUGAUCGGCUAUUCCGACCUCGAUCUUUCCAUCUCCGAUUUCGGUUUUCUCGGCUAAGCGCCUAUUGCGUGGAGGGUCGUCGUUGCCGGCGGCCAUUUAAGGUCGUUUCUGGCCGGCGGCGGCUAUUCCGAGGAAGCCCGUUGUUGCCAGUGGCUAUUUGAGGCUGUUUCUGGCGGCGGCGGAUAUUUCGGGGAAGCCCGUUGUUGUCGGCGGCCGGUUUGAGUCUGUUUCUGGCGGAGUCGGCCUUCAGAUUUCUCGAAGGUAUUCUUUGUUUAUCUUCAUUUUUAUGUCCUUUUGGUACAUUUCCUGACUUCUCUCGUCUGUCUGUGAACCCUUUGGAUCUAUAGAGUCUAAAUAGUUUCAGAUGUAAAACCCUAGGCCUGUAUGAAUUUCUGGUGGGUGGAGUUUGAUUAUUAGGUUUGUUAUGAAAUAUGAAAUCUGGUGAUCAAAAAGUUGUAAAGGUGGAAUCUUUGCAUGCUAUGAACACUGGAAGAUCAAGAACAAGAACAUGAAAAAAGGUUGAGAGGUUUCGGUUUUUCUCCUACCCGAUGAUGAUGGUGGCUUGCUACUUGGUAUGGCAACUCCGGUUGCAACCGUAGCACCACCGGCGGGUUUAACGACGAUGAUGAUCUUUUCAGAUCUGAGUCGAUGGGUGUUGAUGAUUUUGUUUUUUGUAUGUUUUUUUCCUGAGAUUGCUGAAAUAAGGAGUCAUUUGUUGACAUGGAAGGAGUUGUUAUGGUUUCUCUUGAGGCUAUUAAAGGCGCCCCAGCAGGUUGUAGAACGCCUUUUAUAUCAGCCAUAGAACUACGGCUUCUGCCAUGUGACAUGUAUGACGAAAGUUGAAUUUAAAUCAUUAAACCUUUGUGCAUGUUUGAAUACUGUUACUCCUAAAUCAAGAACUUGUCUGGCAUUGGAUAGAAUGAAGGAAUUAAUGCUGGAUUAGUUGAUCUCACAACAUUGCAAAACUUGUUAAAUUCAAGUAGUGACGAAGAUUCACCAUGAGGCUGCAACUGUGCUUCCUAUAUAUGUUGAGGAUCCUGCCAGAAGUGAAGUUGAAAUUGAGAUGGCUUUGGAUGUAUAAUGUUAGGAUUUUGAAUUUAGUAUUCAGAAAUAUUAACUUUUAUAGUAGAUUUUAGCAACUGAAGAAGCAUGGUCCGUGCGGGUCA